ensembl:lncRNA
AAUGCACAAAUAAAAGAAAUAGCGCGAUUAUCAACCAAGAUACAUACCAGAAGUGGUUUCAAAAAUUGCUAUUUACACGCAAGGAUCCUGGGGUCAGAAACGACGAUGGUGCCCAGACUGCUCCUGCAAACACACCUGCCCGGGGAGAUGUAGGAUGGGCUUGCGGAGCCUGGGUGGAGGGCCCACGGCUACAGACCCAGGCCAUCCAGGUCCCGGCAGGGAAGAAGAAGGUGAGUCACGGCGGCGGCUACGCAGACAGCCUGCGGCUUCGCAGGCAAGAGUCACACUCCCCCAACUGAGCCAGCCAGGCGCCCCGCUACCUGUCUGUUUGUACCUACCUGGGCUCCAGUCACCAAACCUCGUGGCCUGCUGCGCUUACGGGGCCCCGUGGCAGGUAGUGUGGGCAGUGCCUCCAGCGCAGACUCAGCCUUUGUGCCCUGGCUUCUCCCAGUCUGAGCAGAGGGAUCAGCCCACGUGAGAGAAAGACGCUGAAAAUGAUGGAGCCCCACCCCCACUAAGUUGCUCUGUGGCCCAGGUAGAUCAGCUGACAUCCCUGUGCCUCCCGUGCCGCAUCUGUACGAUGGGGAUCACGAUGGCGCCCCCUCUCCUGAGCUGAGAAGCGUACAAGGUAAUAGAAGGAAGGCCCACAGGACGGGCUCAGACGACCGGAGCUGAUGCUGGAGGUAAGGGGUCAGGGCUGAGGGGGCUCGGGCUGUGCUUGGGCCCUCGCUGUGAUCGAAGGUGCCGGACGUGGAGCAUAACCCCUGCCCCUGGGCGGAUGUGCGAGCCUGUGGAGUGAACGUGGCCGUGCUUGCUCGUGCCGGUGACCUCACGCGAGUGCCGGCUGCGCACCGGGGCCUGGCUGACGAAUCUUGCAGCUGUCCGCGGGGAGGGGAGGAGAGUGGUGCGAGGCAUCGCUGUUUCUUACUGAGGCGAGGCGACGGAGGCUUGGAGAGGUUGGGUGACCUUCCCAAGGUUAUGCAGCUUGGUGGAAGUGGGCAAGGGUCCAAACCUCUGAAGACUGUUGCUGGCAGCCCCUGGUAGAAGCGGAGUUGGCUUUCGGGGAGUAGCGGGGCCUCCCUCACGUCUCAGAGUGAGCCAAAGUUUGGUAAAUGCUAAGCAGGCUGUGCGCAGAACUGCAGUUAGGGGGGGGAGGAGAGGGGCGCCCGGGUGGCUCGGUCGGUUAAGCGACGGACUCUUGGUACUGGCUCUGGUCAUGAUGUCGUGGUUGUGAGAUCAAGCCCCAUAUGGGGCUGCGGCCCAGCGUGGCUCCUGCUUGGGAUUCUCUGUCUCCGGCUCUCUGCCCCUACCCGACUCGUGCGCGCCUGCUCUCUAAAUAAACAAACGUCCGUGCCAACAAAGACAAUAGGAGAGGCUAUCGCGAGCAGCCCCAGGAAGGAAGAAGUAGAAAGCUGAUCUCAGGAGACCCAGACACAGCCAGGGUGGCUGUGGAGCGUGACCUCGAGAGGGAGCUAGAGAAGAGUCUGCAGAGAACUCCAUAUCCAGCAGGGAAAUCAAGUUUAAAUAUUACGUUGGGGUCGAAUUCAAGGGAGGUGUUGGGAUAUGUGCAUCUGGGAGGAUGGAACCCUGUAAGUUUGGGGCAAGCGAGACUCAUGAAAACAGUGUUUUAGGAUGGGGUUCUUGGAGGGGAGUCCCAGAUGGCUCUGGGCUCGGCUCACUGCAGUUACUGGGCUAGGGGAUCAAGGUGGAGAGCCAGAGUCCCUGCUUGGAGGCCACACCGGUCCACAAGGUGCAUGAGGCGUCCCCUGGAAUUGGAAUGUAAACGUCUGUGCGUGUAGUGGCAUUACACUUUCAUCAGCUAGAGUGGCGACCGCGCCCCUAACCCCCCCUUCCGCCUUCGUAAAUAUUAUAGCAGAGAACAGGGGGCUGAGCAAAGCGAGCGGGCUCUGGAGUUGGGUGGAGCACACGUGUCUGGUUUCCGGGCACAGCCGUGUUCUUCUGCUUUCGUGGUAUAUUCUCACCUCAUGACACUGGCAAGCCUUCCUGUCCCUGUGCCUCCGUUUCCCCAACUGGAAAUAGGGCAACUCUUCCUAUUACUACCACUGUUUACUAAACUAAUGAUGGUCAACUCACAGAAUUCUUAGGAAGUCGGAAUGAAGUAUGGAAAAACAGUUUCCUUCUCUCUCUCCUUCUUCCUCUCCCUUCCUGUCUCCUUCCCUCCCUCCCUUCCCCUCCCCUACCUCCCUUCCAUUUUCCUUCUCUCCCUACCUUUCCUCCUCUCUCCUUCCUUCCUCCAUCUUCUCCUCCCUCCUUCUGUCCAUUCUUUCCUUUUAUCCUCCUCUCCUCCAUUCAUUCUUCUCUUCUUGCUGUGACAAUUUCAAAGAAACUCAAGGGGUGCCUGGCUGGCUCAGUUGGUGGAGCAUGCGACUCUUGAUCUCAGGGUUGUGAGUUCGAGCUCCACAUUGGGUGUAGAGAUUACUUUAAAAUUUUUUUAUAAAUCUUUUUUAAAAACAUAGGGGCACCUGGAUAGCUUAGUUGGUUAAGCGUCAGACUUCAACUUCGGCUCAGGUCAUGAUCUCCCGGUUCGUUGGUUUGAGCCCCGCAUCGGGCUCUGUGCUGACAGCUCAGAGCCUGGAGCCUGCUUCGGAUUCUGUGUCUCCCUCUCUCUCUGCCCCUCCCCUGCUCGUGCUCUGUCUCAAAUAAAAUAAACAUUUUUUAAAAAUUAAAAAAAAUCUUUAGGGACGCCUGGGUGGCUCAGUCGGUUAAGCGUCCAACUUCAGCUCAGGUCAUGAUCUUGUGGUCCAUGAGUUCGAGCCCCGUGUGGGCUCUGUGCUGACAGCUCGGAGCCUGGAGCCUGUUUCGGAUUUUGUGUCUCCCUCUCUCUCUGCCCCUCCCCCGCUCAUGCUCUGUUUCUCUCUGUCUCAAAAAUAAAUAAACGUUAAAAAAAUUUUUUUUAAAUAAAAAUUUAAAAAAUCUUCUAAAAAAAUAAAAGAACCUCAAGACAAUAUGUGUUUUCAUCUCUACAUCUUUAUUUGUAUGGACUUUCCAAAAAAAAGCAUAGAAAUUUCGGCUACAUAAGCACAGUGACAACAAUAAUCUCUUGGAAUCAUCGCCCAGUCGCCUACAUUUAGAUUUCCCUGAUUACCUCAAUAAUUUUAGAACUCACACUUUGUUGCAUCUGCAAUGAUGAAAUAGAGAUCUCAAUGGAGUUAUUUGCAUAUAGAAUUCCAGCCUUAGAGAGAGGAGGAGGUGGGGUGCCUGGCUGACUCAGUGGGAAGAGCGUGUGACUCUUGAUCUCCAGGUCAUGAGUUUGAGCCCCACAUUGGGUAUAGAGAGUACUAAAAAAAAUAAUAAUAAACUUAAAAAAAAAAGAAUGAAGAGGAGGAAGUUAUAGACAGACCCGGGGUACCUGGGUGACUGAGUCGGUUCAGCCUUUGGCUCUUGAUUUCAGCUCAGGUCAGGAUCUCAUGGUUUGUGAGUUGGAGUCCGGCAUUCGCAUUUGAGUCUCUGCUGUCAGCACAGAGCCAGCUUGGGAUCCUCUGUCUCCCUCUCUCUCUGCCCCUCCCCCACUUAUUCUCUCUCAAAAAUAAAGAUUUUUUUUAAAAAAGCUAAGCAGAUUUUGUGUUCACUGCCCUAUCUUGGGACACCAUGGACUCUUCAGGUUUGUUCCAGGAAGCUGUAUCAUUUGCACAUUAAAUUCCAGUCUAGAGCCUGGUACACUGUGUCCCUCUGCUGUAAUCUGG